GACGAACGCUGGCGGCGUGCCUAAUACAUGCAAGUCGAACGCUUCUUUCCUCCCGAGUGCUUGCACUCAAUUGGAAAGAGGAGUGGCGGACGGGUGAGUAACACGUGGGUAACCUACCCAUCAGAGGGGGAUAACACUUGGAAACAGGUGCUAAUACCGCAUAACAGUUUAUGCCGCAUGGCAUAAGAGUGAAAGGCGCUUUCGGGUGUCGUUGAUGGAUGGACCCGCGGUGCAUUAGCUAGUUGGUGAGGUAACGGCUCACCAAGGCCACGAUGCAUAGCCGACCUGAGAGGGUGAUCGGCCACACUGGGACUGAGACACGGCCCAGACUCCUACGGGAGGCAGCAGUAGGGAAUCUUCGGCAAUGGACGAAAGUCUGACCGAGCAACGCCGCGUGAGUGAAGAAGGUUUUCGGAUCGUAAAACUCUGUCGUUAGAGAAGAACAAGGACGUUAGUAACUGAACGUCCCCUGACGGUAUCUAACCAGAAAGCCACGGCUAACUACGUG
rnacentral:rRNA from 1 species